CCUACGGGAGGCAGCAGUAGGGAAUUUUUCACAAUGGGCGAAAGCCUGAUGGAGCAAUGCCGCGUGAAUGAUGAAGGUCUUAUAGAUUGUAAAAUUCUUUUAUUUGGGAAGAAAAACUAAAGUAGGAAAUGACUUUAGUCUGACUGUACCAUUUGAAUCAGUAUCGGCUAACUAUGUGCCAGCAGCCGCGGUAAUACAUAGGAUGCAAUCGUUAUCCGGAUUUACUGGUCGUAAAACGAGCGCAGGCGAGUUAACAAGUUUGGGAUGAAAGGCUUUUGCUUAAAGAAAGUUUGUAGCAAAAACUGGUAAUAUAGAGUGUAGUAGAGGGGUCUGGAAUUCGAGGUGGAGCGGUGGAAUGCGUAGAUAUAUGGAAGAACACCAGUGGCGAAGGCGAGAACUUAGGCUAUCACUGACGCUGAGGCUCGAAAGUGUGGGGAGCAAAUAGGAUUAGAUACCCCGGUAGUC
rnacentral:rRNA from 1 species